GACGAACGCUGGCGGCGUGCUUAACACAUGCAAGUCGAACGGAAAGGCCCUGCUUUUGUGGGGUGCUCGAGUGGCGAACGGGUGAGUAACACGUGAGUAACCUGCCCUUGACUUUGGGAUAACUUCAGGAAACUGGGGCUAAUACCGGAUAGGAGCUCCUGCUGCAUGGUGGGGGUUGGAAAGUUUCGGCGGUUGGGGAUGGACUCGCGGCUUAUCAGCUUGUUGGUGGGGUAGUGGAUUACCAAGGCUUUGACGGGUAGCCGGCCUGAGAGGGUGACCGGCCACAUUGGGACUGAGAUAAGGCCCAGACUCCUACGGGAGGCAGCAGUGGGGAAUAUUGCACAAUGGGCGGAAGCCUGAUGCAGCAACGCCGCGUGCGGGAUGACGGCCUUCGGGUUGUAAACCGCUUUCGCCUGUGACGAAGCGUGAGUGACGGUAAUGGGUAAAGAAGCACCGGCUAACUACGUG
rnacentral:rRNA from 1 species